rnacentral:rRNA from 1 species
UACGUAGGGUGCAAGCGUUGUCCGGAAUUAUUGGGCGUAAAGAGCUCGUAGGCGGUCUGUCGCGUCGGCUGUGAAAACCUGGGGCUCAACCCCGGGCCUGCAGCCGAUACGGGCAGCUAGAAUUCGGUAGGGGAGACUGGAAUUCCUGGUGUAGCGGUGAAAUGCGCAGAUAUCAGGAGGAACACCGGUGGCGAAGGCGGGUCUCUGGGCCGAAAUUGACGCUGAGGAGCGAAAGCGUGGGGAGCAAACAGG